CCUACGGGAGGCAGCAGUGGGGAAUAUUGCACAAUGGGGGAAACCCUGAUGCAGCGACGCCGCGUGGGUGACGAAGUAUUUCGGUAUGUAAAGCCCUAUCAGCAGGGAAGAAGAUGACAGUACCUGACCAAGAAGCCCCGGCUAACUACGUGCCAGCAGCCGCGGUAAUACGUAGGGGGCAAGCGUUAUCCGGAUUAACUGGGUGUAAAGGGAGCGUAGGUGGCAUGGCAAGCCAGAAGUGAAAACCCGGGGCUUAACCCCGCGGAUUGCUUUUGGAACUGUCAGGCUGGAGUGCAGGAGGGGCAGGCGGAAUUCCUGGUGUAGCGGUGAAAUGCGUAGAUAUCAGGAGGAACACCGGUGGCGAAGGCGGCCUGCUGGACUGUAACUGACACUGAGGCUCGAAAGCGUGGGGAGCAAACAGGAUUAGAUACCCGGGUAGUC
rnacentral:rRNA from 1 species